CUCAACGGGGGCGGUACCGCCCCCCAGGGGGCGUUCAGAAGAUUGGGGGGGGAGGGCGCUGGAAGCAAUAUUUUGGAAAGGGGGGCGUUGAGGUGCCCUUGGGGGGCGUUUGUUUGAAAGCUAGUUUAAACCAAAGAUUCACAAUAACAAUACAUGUUUACACUUUAAAACUACUAAAGAGUAA